GUUCUAAACCUACAUAUUGUUUUUUUUUCUUUCAAAAUUCUUCAUGGACGUCCGUUAAUACCUUAGCUACGGAUCGAGUUGUCCAAGACGGUCAAAAUGAUCAAUUUUCAAGGUCAAACAAGUCCCGGAGAAGGUUAAUCCCCCAUUUUCCUGAUUUUUAUGUGCUAUUGUGCAAGAAUUUUUAGUGAUUCAAAAUUCCGAUAUCAUAUUUGCCAAAAAUAUUCAUGGACGUCUGAUAAGACCUUAGUUAUGGAUCCAAUUGGCCCAGACGACCAAAAUGACCCAUUUUUAAGUUUAAUCGGGCUCCGGAGUAGGUAAAUCCCCAAUUUUAUCGAUUUUCGUGUGAUAUAGUCCAUGAAUUUAUGGUGAUCCGAUUCCAAUGUCAUUUUUGCUGAAAUUUUUCAGACCUUAGCUAUGGAUUCAGUUGACCCUGACGGCAAAAAUGACCCAUUUUCAAGGUCAAACGAGCUCCAGAGCAGGUAAACCUCCGAUUUUGCCGAUUUUUAUGUCUUAUAGUUCACCAUCUUUUUUGGUGAUAAAAAGUUCCGACGAUAUUUUUUUUGAAAUUUUUCACGGAAGUCCGUUGAUACCUUAGUUAUGGACCCAGUUGGACCAGACAACCAAAACGCUUCAUUUUCAAGGUCCAACGAGCCCCGGGCAGGGAAACCCUCAUUUUUGCUGAUUUUUGUGUGUUAUAGUCAAUGAGUUUUUGGUGAUUCAAAAUUCCGACAUCUUUUUUGCCAAAAUUUUUAGUGGACGUCCGUUAAGACGUUAGCUACGGAAUCAGAUUGCCCUGACGACCAAAAUGACCAAUUUACGAGCCCCGAAUUAGGUAAGCCCCAUUUUGUUGAUUUAUGUGUACUAUAGUCCAUAGAUAUUUAAUAAUCCAGAAUUCUAACAUCUUUUUUUGUCAAAAGUUUUCAUAGACGUCUAUUAAGAUGUUACCUAUGGAGCUAGUUGGCCUUUACGACUAAUACAAUCCAUUUUGAAGGUGAAACGAGCCCCAGAGCAUAUAAAUCCCCCUGUUUUGUCGAUUUUUGUGUGCUAUAGUUCACGAUCUUUUUUGGUGAUCUAGAGUUCCAAUGAUUUUUAUCCUCAAAUUUUUUGUGGAAGUCCUUUAAGACGUUAGAUAUGGAGCCAAUUGGCCAACACGGCCAAACCGAUCCAUUUUGAAGGUCAAACGAGCCGCGGAGUAGGUAAACCCCUAAUUUUAUCGAUUUUUAAUCCGAAAUUCCAACGUCUUUUUUGUCUAAUUUUUUUUAGGACAUACGUUAAUACAUCAUUAUAGAGCCAAUUGACCCUGACAAUCAAAACAACUCAUUUUCAAAGUAAACUUUAUUUUGUCGAUUUUUGUGUACUAUAGUCCAUGGAUUUUUCGGUGAUCCAGAAUUGCGAUGUCUUUUUUGCCCAAACUUUUUUUGGACGUCCGUUAAGACGUCAUAUAUGGAACGAGUUGGUCUGACGGCCAAAACGAUCCAUUUUGAUGAUCAAACGAGCCUCAGAGCUGGUAAAUCCCUUAUUUUGCCGAUUUUUUAGUGCUAUAGUCCACGAUCUUUUUUGGUGAUCCAGAAUUUUGAUGUCUUUGUUAGCUAAUUUUUUUGUGGAGGUCCUUUAAGACGAUAGCUAUUGAGCCAAUUGGACCUGACGGUCAUAACAACCCAUUUUGAAGGUCAAAUAAGUCACGGAGCAUGUAAAUCCCCGUUUUGCCAAUUUUUGUAUGCUAUAGUCUAUGAAUUUUUGGUAAUCCAGAACUCUAACGUCUUUUUUGCCCUAGUUUUUCGUGGAAGUUCGUUAAACGUUAGAUAUGGAGUACGUUGGCCCUGAUGGUCAAACAACUAAUUUUUAAGGUCAAACGAGCCCUGAAGCAAGUAAAUCUCAUUUUGCCAAUUUUCGUGUACUAUUGUCAAUGGAUUUUGGGUGAUUCAGAAUUCGGUCGUAGUUUUUGCCCAAAUAAUUCAUGGACGUCUGUUAAGAUGUUAUCUAUGGAUCCAGUUGGCCUUGACAUCCAAAAUGACUCAUUUUGAAGGUCAAACGAGCCCCAGAGCAGGUAACCGAUCAUUUUACCGAUUUUUGUGUGCUAUAAUCCACAUUCCUUUUUGGUGACCUAGAAUUUCGACGUCUCUUUUGCCCAAAUUUAUUGUAGACAUUUGUUAGCACGUUAGUUAUGGUACAAGUUUGUCUUAACAGUCAAAACAAAUUAUUUUAAAGGUCAAACGAGCUCAGAGCAGGUAAACCACCGAUUUUUCCAUUUUUGUGUGCUAUAGUCCAUCGAUUUUUGGUGAUCCAGAAUUUCGAAGUCUUUUUUGUCAAAUUUUUUCGUGGACGUCCAUUAAUAUGUUAACUAUGGAUCAUGUUAGCCUUCAUGGACAAAACAACUUAUUUUCAAGGUCAAACAAGCUUCGAUGCAGGUAAACCCCAUUUUACCGAUUUUUCGUGUACUAUAGUCUAAGGAUUUUUGGUGAUCAAGAACUUCGACGUCUUUUUUGCCAAACUUUUUUGUGGAUGUCCAUUAAGACGUUAUCUAUGGAGCAGUUGGUCAUGAAGGCCAAAACGGGCUAUUUUGAAGGUCAAACGGGUCCUGGAGAAGAUAAAAUCUCUUGUUUCGUCAAUUUUUGUAUGUUAUUGCCCACAAUUUUUUUGGUAAUCCAGAAUUUCAACGUCUUUAAGACGUCCGUUAAGACGUUAUCUAUGGAGCUAGUUGGCCCUAACAGUCAAAAGUACCCAUUUUGAAAGUCAAACGAGUCUCGGAGCAGGUAAACUAUCCAUUUGGUCGAUAUUCAUGUGCUAGUCCAUGUAUUUUUGAUGAUAUAUAAUUUCGAUGUCUUUUUUGCCCAAAUUUUUUGUGGUCAUUUGUUAAGAUGUUACAUAUGGAUCCAUUAGCCCUAACGGUCAAAAUGAUCCAUUUUAAAGGUCAAACGAGCCCCGAAGCAGUCCAUGGAUUUUCGGUGAUUCAGAAAUUUGAUGUCUUAUUUGUGGACGUCCGCUAAGACGUUAUCUAGGGAGAUAGUUGGCCCUAACGGUCAAAACGACCAAUUUUAAAGGUCAAACGAGCCCCAGAGCAUGUAAACCCCUCAUUUUGCAGAUUUUCAUGUGUUAUAGUCCACAAUCUUUUUUGGUGAUCCAGAAUUCUGGCGUCUUUUUGUCAAAAGAUUUUUUAAACGUCCUUUAAGACGUUAGCUAUGGAGUCACUUGACCACAAUGGCCAAAACGACCCAUUUUUAUGGUCUAACAAGCCUAGAGCUGGUAAAUCCCCCAUUCUGUAGAUUUUCAUGUGCUAUAUAGUUCAUGGUAUUUUUUGGUGAUCCACAAUUUUGAUGUCUUUGUUACCCUUAUUUUUUGUGGAUGUCUGUUAAGACGUUAGCUAUGGAGCUAGUUGGCCUUGACGGUCCAAAUAACCCAUUUUGAAGGUCAAACGAGUCUUGGAGAAGGUAAACCUCCUAUUUUUCCAAUUUUCGUGUACUAUAGUCUAUGAAUUUUUUAUGAUCCAGAAUUUCGACGUCUUUUUUGCUUAAAUUUUCCCUGAAAGUCCGUUAAGACGUUUUCUAGUGGAGCAAAUUGGCUCUGACGGCCAAAAAAACCCAUUUUAAAUGUCAAACGAGCACAAAAGCAGGUAUACCCCUCAUGUUACCAAUUUUCGUGGGCUAUAGUCCAUGAUCUUUUUUGGUGAUCCAGAAUUCUGAUAUCUUUUUUACCCAAAAUUUUUGUGGAUGCCCCUUAAGACGUUAACUAUGGAAAUAGUUGGCUCUGACGGUCAAACCGGCCCAUUUUGAAGGUCAAAUGAGCCCCAGAGCAGGUAAACCCCUUACUUUAUCGAUUUUCGUGUGCUAUAGUCCAUGAAUUUUUGGUGAUCCAGAAUAGUGACGUCUUCUUUACCCAAAUCUUUUAUGUACGUCCGUUAAGACAUUAGCUAUGGAGCCAGAUGUUCUGAAGGCUAAAACGACUCAUUUUCAAUGUCAAACGAGCCCCAAAGCAGGUAAACCUCAUUUUGCCAAUUUUCGUGUGAUAUAGUCCAUGGAUUAUUGGUGACAUGAGAUUCCUACGUAUUUUUUGUUCAAAUUUUUAUAGACAUCCGUUAAGACGUUAUUUAUGAAUCUGGUUGGCCGUGACGACCAAAACAACCUAUUAAAAGGUCAAACGAGUCCCAAAGCAGGUAAACCCAUUAUUUUUAUCGAUUUUCGUAUGCUAUAGUCCACAAUCUUCUUUGGUGAUCCAGAAUUCUAUUAUUUUUAAUGCCCAAAUUUUUGUGGAUGUCCAUUAAGAUGUUAGGUGUGGAUCCAGUUGUCCGUGACGGGCAUAAUGACUCAUUUUGAAUGUUAAAUAAAGCCCUCGGAGAAGGUAAAUCCCUAAUUUUGCUGAUUUUCGUGUGCUAUGGUCCAUAAAUUUUUUGUGAUUCAAAAUUUCGACUUCUUUUUUCUAAAUUUUUUCGUGGAAGUUUAUUAAGAUGUUAACUAUGAAUCCAGUUGGCUCUGACGGCCAUAGUGGCACAUUUUCAAGGUUAACGAUCCCCGGAUCAGGUAAACCCCCAUUUUGCCAAUUUGCGUGUAAUGUAGUCCAUGGAUUUUAGGUGAUGUCUUUUUUGCCUAAAUUUUUUGUGAAAGUCCAUUUAAACGUUAACUAUGGAUUCAAAUUGCCCUGACAAGUAAAACAAUCAAUUUUCAAGAUCAAACGAGCCCCGAAGCAGGUAAACACCAUUUUGCCAAUUUUUGUGUACUUUAGUCCAUGAAUUUUUAAUGAUCCGAAAUUUCAACGUCUUUUUUGCCCAAACUUUUCAUGGACGUCCAUUAAAACAUUAUCUAUUAAGCCAAUUGGCUCUAACGAAUAAAAUGACCCAUUUUGAAGGUCAAACGAGUCCUAGAGCAGAUAAACCCUUCAUUUUGCCUAUUUUCGUGUGAGAUCGUCCACGAUCGUUUUUUGGUGAUCAAAUUUUUUGUGUACGUCCAUUAAGACGUUAGCUAUGGAGUCAGUUGACACUGACAGCUAAAACGACCCAUAGUUAAUGUCAAACGAGCCCCAAAGCAGGUAGAUUCCAUUUUGUCAAUUUUUGUGUGCUAGUUUAAGGAUUUUUGGUGAUAAGAGAUUUCGACAUAUUUUUUGACCAAAUUUUUAUGGACAUCCAUUUACCAUUUGUCCCUAACGGCCAAAACAACCCAUUAGAAGGUCAAUCGAGCCCUAAAGCAGGUAAACCCCUCAUUUUACCAACUUUUGUGUGCUAUAGUCCAUAAUUUUUUUAGUGAUCUAGAAUUCUAACGUUUCUAUCGUCCAAAUUUUUUGUGGAUGGCCAUUCAGAUGUUAGGUGUGGAGUUAGUUGUCCCUGACCGCCAUAAUGUCCCCUUUUGAAGGUCAAACGAGCCCCAACGAAGUUUAUCCUGAAGGCCAUAAUGGCAUAUUUUCAGGGUCAACGAGCCCCAGUGCAGAACAUUAGCUAUGGAGUCAUUUGGGUUUGACGACUAAAACGAUCAAUUUUUAAGGUCAAACAAGCCCUGAAGCAGGUAAACACCAUUUUGCCAAUUUUCGUGUAAUAUAAUCCAUGAAUUUUUGGUGAUAUGAAAUUCUAACUUAUUUUUUGCCCAAAUUUUUGUGGACAUCCGUUAAGACGUUAUCUAUCUAUUUUACCGAUUUUCGUGUACUAUAGUCCAUGAAUUUUUUGUGACCCGGAAUUCUGAUGUCUCUUUUAACUUAAAGUUUUCAUAAACGUUCAUUAAGACGUUAUCUGUAGAGCUGGUUUGCCCUAACGGCUAAAACAACU